rnacentral:lncRNA from 1 species
CAUUUAAUCUCUAAUUCAAUAGGCUAUAAACAAGACAAACACAGAUAUAGGAUAAGUUGCUCGCAGUAACAUAUUAUUUUCUCUUGCGAUACAAUUUUUAUUUUUCUUUAUGUACAUAUUUCUUCGAUUGAAACAAUAUAUAAACACAUGACAUAUAACAUUGUUCCUCUUUCGCAUCGUUUUCUUUUCCCCGGCUAAUAUCU